rnacentral:rRNA from 1 species
UACAGAGGUCCCAAGCGUUGUUCGGACUCAUUGGGCGUAAAGGGUGCGUAGGCGGCGCGGUAAGUCGGGUGUGAAAUCUCGGGGCUUAACUCCGAAACUGCAUUCGAUACUGCCGUGCUUGAGGACUGGAGAGGAGACUGGAAUUUACGGUGUAGCGGUGAAAUGCGUAGAUAUCAAGUGGAACACCAGUGGCGAAGGCGAGUCCCUGGACAACUCCUGACACUGAGGCACGAAAGCUAGGGGAGCAAACAGG